UUUUCUCAGUGUUGCCUCUUUCAAAUAUCAUCUUAUUUCAACCAUAAGAGCAGAUGCCGUAGUCACUGGAGUGUUGUUUUCAAACAUUCUAUUCAGUGACUCUCUUCAAAGUCCAAAGAGUGUCUUCUAUGACACUCAAGUUAUAACAACGAUAAACAGAUUCAAAAUAGGCAAACACACAACAUGAGACCUUGACUAGACUGAUUUUGCUGACUUUUGUUGAAAGUUAGAUUUGGCUGAUCACUUCCUGUGAGCAGCCUGGGCACCAGUUUGAUCCUGGAAUUCAGCCUGGAGGAGCUCACUCAGACAGCUUCCUGACUCAGACAGGUCUCAUGUGUGAAAGAGUGGGCAGUCCUGGAGUGGAGCAUCAGGCUGUAAUUGGUAGACAUAAAAAUUUAGGGGAAGUGACACAAGAGAAAAAGGUCUUUAAAAGUGGAAACAGAGACACACACAGACACUUGGAGUAAAGAGGGAAAGUUGGAGUGAAGAGACACCCUUGGAAGUGAAAAGACACACUUGGAGUGGAGACUCACAUUAGGAGUGGAAGCUCCUGAAAGAAGCAGUUCUACUGGAGUUUAGGCUGAUAAAGAAUCUGCUGAUUGAACUGACAUGUGAAUGACAUUGAUGUUUGCCCUACCCAGUUCCUUUAUUACAUAAAGUGGAAAUAUCACUAAGUCAUGCAUUUUCCAGAAGUAGGAUCCCCAAGAAUCCAUGUGACCUGACACCAGAAAGAAGCCUUUGUGAAUGCUCCCAGGACUGUGGCCUCAAUGUCUAGCCCCUUCUUAACACUGAAAUCACUGACUCAGAUUUAAGGCACUAGUAUAAAAGACACCAAGAAGUACAGAAGAAGCUUGUGUACAAGGAGGGAAAGAUAGUCUGCUCUUUGGUCUCAGUGUCUGAGACCCCAAGUGCAAAUUCAAACUCUGAUACUUCUACUAAAUGGCAAAAUCGUAAUUGCACGAACUACCACACAGGUAAGAGGAAUCCAGAUGAACUUACAUCCUGCCUGGUCCAUUUAGUCAGUACACUCCAUCACAGCUGGAGCAGCGCCAGGCUACACACUCCAUCACAGCUGGAGCAGCACUGGGCUGCACACUCCAUCACAGCUGGAACAUAGCUAGAGACCAGAGGACAUGAUUUUCUGACAAAAGCCUGAGUCUGGAAAUCCCUGGACUUCACAGAUGUGAUUCCCAGCUGCACUGACUCAGCCCUUCACUCUUCUGAGGAAGUCAAUUUAACUUCUCCACCAUGUUUAACUCUAGAAGCCUCAUGGAGACAAGAGUCUGCUUGGCAUGGACCAAUAAACACUACUCUAAAUUUACCACACCCUAAUCUUCUCUAUUUGAGUAAGAGCUUCUCCCUUGGGGUCUUUUGGCGGAAAUCUUUAGGUCUUUUGAAUAUCUAGAGGGAACUCAGCUACUGACUUACUAGCGAUGAAAAUAUGUCUUUCCUGUCACUACAAAAAGAGCCAGAUCUAGCAUGGGUAGUCCGUAUUUGGCACCAGAAAUUAACAUUGUUCAGGAUGGGGAAGGUAGUACGUGCUUCAUUUUCCAUGUCUCAUAUAACCCCUAAGCUUCCAUUCUCCCCUCUACUCCCACCAUGGUCCAAUUGGCGCUUGCAAUCCUCAUCUAGGGUGGACCAAGAUAGAAUUAUGGGCAAAGGAACAAGAACUGACCAUCUUCUGUUCUCCUUUUCUUUCCCCUCCUUCAAAAUAAAACCUAUCAGCCUUAAUCUGUCCCUGUUUCUAAUCUCUUUUACCCUCACUUUUAUUGUGCCUACUAGAGCCAUUCUCUCCCAUUAAAAAAAAAAAAAAAAAACCUUUUACUUUUCCUAAGUCUCUUCUUUUCACAUUCCUUUCUGGUACUCACUGAAAUUUAGCGUUUUCCAGAAGAUGCCAAAUCCACUGGCAUCCUUUGUAAGGCUACCUGCUCUUUCCUUCAUAUCUCACUGACACACUAUCAGGAGAAGGAGCUGGCACACUAUUUCCUCCCCUGAUGCCAAUUUCCUUUAGUGUCAUUCCUGAACAACUCCCUCUCCUACCAAAUUCACUCCAUCCUAUCCAAAUUUUUGAUGCUCUCAUCUCAGGACCUCCAGUUCACUUUCCUUUCCAGGUUCAGCAUAUGACUCACAGUCUUCUUAAUCUGAAUCCCUGACCCCUUGAAAUACCCUGGACUUAAUCUCUUCCAUACCCACAGACCCUAACUCUGGUCCAUCUCAAUCAUGAUGAGGAAUGAUCAUGCCUUAGCCACUCCUUCUCCAAAUGUUCUCCAAAUGAGUGAAUGAUAAAGCAUUACUACACAAUGUCUAUGUUCCAAGCAAAUAAGGUAGAAAGAUAACUAACCCCUGAACUCAAGGAGCUUACAUAAGACAUUGUAUACAAAUAAUACAUUAAAUUGGAGCUAAUAAAAGUGAGAAGUGAGCAGAAAAUUAAAAUUGACUAGAAAGUGACAAAGGAGUCCUAUUAAUUGAUAUUAUACAUAUUAAAAACAACUCUGAAGUACCAUCUCACUCCCAUUGGAUUGACUAAGAUGGCAAAAAAUGCUGGAGGGAAUGUGGGAAAACACAUAUAUUAAUGCAUCAUUGGUGGAGCUGCUAACUAUGCCAACCAGUCUGGAAAGCAGUUUGGAACUAUUCCUUAAAGUCUUUUAAACUUAACACACACUUUGACCUGGAAAUACCAGUACUUAACCCCUAAGGAGAUUUAAAAAAAAAAAGGAAAAGGACUGAUAUGAAGAAAAAGGUUUACAGUGUCUUUUUCUAUGGUGGCAAAGAAUUAGAAACGGAGAUGUCCAUCAAUUAUAGAAUGACUGCAUAAGCUGAGGUAUAGGAAUAUGAUGGUUUAAGAAAAAUCUGGGAAAAUUAAUAUGAACUAAUGCAAAGUGAAAUGAGCAGAGCCAGAAGAAUACAACAAUGGCAAUAUUGUAAAGAUAAUUAACAUGGAAAGACUUACAAACAAUAUGAUGGCUGUAAUAGGAAGAGGGCAUUUGCAAAAGA